GCAGCCUGCAACUCGGCUGCAUGAAGCUGGAAUCGCUAGUAAUCGCGGAUCAGAAUGCCGCGGUGAAUACGUUCCCGGGUCUUGUACACACCGCCCGUCACACCAUGGGAGUCGGGAAUGCCCGAAGUCAGUGACCCAACCGGAAAGGGGGGAGCUGCCGAAGGCAGGCCUGGUAACUGGGGUGAAGUCGUAACAAGGUAAC
rnacentral:rRNA from 1 species